rnacentral:lncRNA from 1 species
ACAAAAAAAAAAAAGGCAGAGAUAGAGAAGGAAAGACUCUUUUUUACGUUUUUUUUAUUUCAUCAAUUCAAUUUAUAUAUCAUAAUAGAUCCUAAUCUAUCCUAUAGAUUUGAAUGGAGAUAUAAAAAAGAAAGGUACCAAUAAAUUAAAUACAAAUUCUUCUUUUUUUCUGGAUAAUGCAUGGAAUAUAAAUAAAAAAAGGUUAUAUAAUUUUUUU